rnacentral:lncRNA from 1 species
ACUCAAAUCAUGCGGUUAUCACAACAAGUACCAAAUCAUGUGAAAAAUGAGAAUCAAGAGGUCUUUCAAAGGUUGUAAUGUGGCUUAGGUUACAAGAAAGGAUAUGAUUAAGACAAUUCAACCAAAUUGCCUAUCCUAAGGGAGCAUUCCCAAAGAUUCACUCUACACAAUUUCCCUUUCUUUGAUCCCUAUCUUUUUCUUUUUCUUUUUCUUUUCAAAUCCACACAACCAUGAGCAUUUCCUUUGCUUUUCUUUUUCUAUUUUUUUCUAUGCUCUAUGGUUUCAAGGGUGAUUUCUUUUUCUUGUUUCUUUUCAUAUUUUUACCCUUACAUAGAAACUCACUUUUCCAAGUUUCUAAUCAACUUUUCACUUUACUCUCCCCAACUUUAGAUUCCAAAACCACAUUUAUUCAAUAAUGCUCCCUACUUAGACAUAAGCAAAAGGCAAAAUUUUGCAAACAGCUCGGUUUGAGGUUUCGACUGAUACGAAAGAAAUUAGGAUUCAUUUAUUCCACAAUUUUCAAUUGAUUUUACAAUGAUCAAUCAAAUGAAUCCUAAAAUAAGCUCAAAGGGGUUUAACUAGGGAUUAUUCCUCACAAGGUUAGUUGAUUCAAACUUUUUGGUCAAGUGGUUUUUCUCACAAACAAUGCCUCUA